AGGCGAUCGAGUCUGGUGAGAACCAAUCCCUCAAAUGAUUCGUUGUUCCCCGUUGCUGCCUAGCGACCAAAAAUUCGAACCUGAGCAUCUGGAAUUUGUAACAGGGUGUUAAACUCUUUUAUCGUCGCACAAGUGAAACUCACCGAAUUGUUAAACGUUCAACAAUCAAUUUAAUUUACACAUUUUUAUACACUGUAUUAAAUCGUUUUACAAUACUUAAUCGACGAUUACGGUCAACUUUUGUGAUAGAAUUAAUACGAUGUAAUAUACAUUUAAUAACUGGGUUUAGUGCAUUUUUAGUUAUUUCUUUUCGCGACGGUGAAAACUACAACGAACCGAGGUUUUCAGACCAGACAUUUUUCUGCGAUUCACCGUUCGACGCCGUGACUCGAGGAGACCCGAUUUUCUUCACAGAGAGGAAUCUUUCAAAGAGGGACUCGAUACUUAUUCUGGACCUCUUUAUCAACAACUUUACUGUUCUGGCAUUCGCCCAUGCCCUCGGGGAAACCAGGAUUUAAAAACCCGAGGCUUACUUCUGGAAACUCUGCUGGUUCCCGUGGCCGUUUAAUUCCAUGAUCUAGAUCAAUCGCAGCCGGAUGUUCUUUCAAUAAAAAGACUUGCUGGAUAACAACACUAUCUCCUGUUCCAUCCGGUAUAAGAAUAUUGACAAGGAUUAUGUCAUCCGAAGCUGAAAUUAAAAAUUCAAGCCAAGAAGAGAAAUUACCUCCGGAGUGCUAUCGAGAAGAUGCUCUUUAUUAUGAUUGUUAUCGAGGAGAAGAUGAAGAAGGUCCGUAUCAGACACACGAGCAAAAACUCCAAAAACUCGAACAAUUGGACAAUAAAGGAUACUGCCCGCGGAGAAUUGAAGAGGUGUAUCCUAACAUUGAAAUAACAACUCGAGAAACAUUGGAAGAACAAAUCAAACGAUUUGAACAAUUAAAAAAGCAAGUGGAAUAUAAAGAAUACUGCGAAUCGGAUAAACCUUUGAAUGAUACUAAGAAACAACGAGAAGAAAAUAAGGAUGGACCAGACAAAUAAAUUUCUUUAAAUCAUCAAUAUGUAUGAAAACUUAACAAAUUUGUUUUUUUUACACUUUGGUAAAAAUUGGCCUUGUUAGUUUAUUGCUUUUAUUUAAUAUCUAAUAAAAAUAGAAGUUCAAUAUAGAACAAUGUCAGAUUCGUUACCAUAAUCAAUAUUUAGAUUCUCUUGUAUAUACUUUCUGGGAUUAAACAUUUUAAUUUUGAUUUUAA